AUGGAUGCUCUCAUCGAUUGGGACUUCUCGUACGGCCAUAAGGUGGCGGCUCAGGUGUGUCGUCGAUUCAAUUCUCCGGUCCAUUUUAAUGGAUCUAUCUCUUCUUCGGAGUUCUUUCUGGUGGUUCUUUUCCAUUCGAGUUCUUUUCGUUUGGAUGUGGAUUCGGUCUCCAUGGCGCUCUGAUCCUGCUUGGAGGGCAAUCUCAAGAGGUUCAACGUGUUUAAACUCUCGGAUAAUCUUUUCCGUUUCUCGGUAGCCUCCAACAGAGUGGGUCAUUUUAUUUGUGCUCUGAAGGGUUGUCGCAUGCUAGCAUUUCAUUGUUCGUUCAAUCUCUUUCAUGGCAAGCCCUUUCAUUUGGAUAGCCGGGAAUCCGAGGUUGGUUCUGACUGGUUGAUUCAUUCCAAUCGGAAGCGCACUCAUCAAUGUUACCUUCAUAAUAUCCCGACAGAUCUCUUAAAUGCAGUGCAUGGCCAUCAAGGUAAACCUCUGGUAAUUAAGGCUCAUCUUAAAAAGAGUGGUGCCUCUAGUGCACAUGCUUCAAAAUGGAUUGUGCUACCUGUUGAGCACUGCGUUGGUUUUCCCCGAAGAGGAAGGGAUGAUGCAGCAAAGUAG
rnacentral:rRNA from 1 species